CAGUAACGCGUAGUCAACCUACCCUAUGGACGGGGAUAACCUCGGGAAACUGAGAAUAAUACCCGAUAGAACAUUAUACCUGGAAUGGUUUAUGUUUCAAAUAAUUUAUUGCCGUAGGAUGGGACUGCGGCCUAUCAGUUUGUUGGUGAGGUAAUGGCCCACCAAGACUAUUACAGGUACGGGCUCUGAGAGGAGUAGCCCGGAGAUGGGUACUGAGACACGGACCCAGGCCCUAUGGGGCGCAGCAGGCGAGAAAACUUUGCAAUGUGCGAAAGCACGACAAGGUUAAUCCGAGUGGUUUCUGCUAAAGGAACCUUUUGCCAGUCCUAGAAACACUGGUGAAUAAGGGGUGGGCAAGUUCUGGUGUCAGCCGCCGCGGUAAAACCAGCACCUCAAGUGGUCAGGAUGAUUAUUGGGCCUAAAGCAUCCGUAGCCUGCUUUGUCAGUUUUCGGUUAAAUCCAUACGCUCAACGUAUGGGCCGCCGGGAAUACUGCAAAGCUAGGGAGUGGGAGAGGUAGACGGUACUCGGUAGGAAGGGGUAAAAUCCUUUGAUCUAUUGAUGACCACCUGUGGCGAAGGCGGUCUACCAAAACAUGUCCGACGGUGAGGGAUGAAAGCUGGGGGAGCAAACCGGAUUAGAUACCCGGGUAGUCCCAGCUGUAAACUAUGCAAACUCGGUGAUGCAUUGGCUUGAUGCCAAUGCAGUGCCGCAGGGAAGCCGUUAAGUUUGCCGCCUGGGAAGUACGUACGCAAGUAUGAAACUUAAAGGAAUUGGCGGGGGAGCACCACAAGGGGUGAAGCCUGCGGUUC
rnacentral:rRNA from 1 species